AUUGAACGCUGGCGGCAGGCCUAACACAUGCAAGUCGAACGAGUGGCGGACGGGUGAGUAAUGUCUGGGAAACGGCCUGAUGGAGGGGGAUAACUACUGGAAACGGUAGCUAAUACCGCAUACCAUCAGAUGUGCCCAGAUGGGAUUAGCGUGUUGGUGGGGUAACGGCUCACCAAGGCGACGAUCCCUCGCUGGUCUGAGAGGAUGACCAGCCACUCCGUACCUGAGACACGGUCCUGACUCCUACGGUACGCAGCAGUGGGGACUACUGCACAAUGGGCGCAAGCCUGAUGCAGCCAUGCCGCGUGUAUGCAGAAGGCCUUCGGGUUGUAAAGUACUUUCAGCGGGGAUGCGUUCCCCCCACAAGAAGCACCGGCUAACUCCGUGCCAGCAGCCGCGGUAAUAC
rnacentral:rRNA from 1 species